rnacentral:rRNA from 1 species
GAUGAACGCUGGCGGCGUGCCUAAUACAUGCAAGUCGAGCGAACGGACGAGAAGCUUGCUUCUCUGAUGUUAGCGGCGGACGGGUGAGUAACACGUGGAUAACCUACCUAUAAGACUGGGAUAACUUCGGGAAACCGGAGCUAAUACCGGAUGAUAUUUUGAACCGCAUGGUUCAAAAGUGAAAGACGGUCUUGCUUUCACUUAUAGAUGGAUCCGCGCUGCAUUAGCUAGUUGGUAAGGUAACGGCUUACCAAGGCAACGAUGCAUAGCCGACCUGAGAGGGUGGUAGGCGACACUGGAACUGAGACACGCUCCAGACGCCUACGGGAGGGAGCAGUAGGGAAUCGGCCGCAGUAGGCGGAAACCUGACGGAACAACGCCGCGUGAGUGAUGAAGGUCUUCGGAGCGUAAAACUCUGUUAUUAGUGGAGAACAUAUGUGUAAGUAACUGUGCACAUCGUGACGGUACCUAAUCAGAAAGCCACGGCUAACUACGUG